CCUGGUUGAUCCUGCCAGUAGUUAUAUGCUUGUCUCAAAGAUUAAGCCAUGCAUGUCUCAGUGCAAGCCGUAUUAAGGCGAUACCGCGAAUGGCUCAAUAUAUCAGUUUUGGUUCCUUAGAUCUUACUCAGUUACUUGGAUAACUGUGGUAAUUCUAGAGCUAAUACAUGCAAUCAGAACUCUGACCAGUGAUGGGAUGAGUGCUUUUAUUAGAUCAAAACCAAUCGACGGAGGGCCUCGCGUUCGAAGUCGUUAAUUUUGAUGAAUCUGGAUAACUUUUGCCGAUCGCACGGUCCAGCACCGGCGACGCAUCUUUCAAAUGUCUGCCUUAUCAACUUUCGAUGGUAGUUUCUGCGACUACCAUGGUUGUCACGGGUAACGGGGAAUCAGGGUUCGAUUCCGGAGAGGGAGCCUGAGAAACGGCUACCACAUCCAAGGAAGGCAGCAGGCGCGCAAAUUACCCACUCCCGGCACGGGGAGGUAGUGACGAAAAAUAACGAUACGGGACUCUUACGAGGCCUCGUAAUCGGAAUGAGUACACUUUAAAUAUUUUAACGAGGAACAAUUGGAGGGCAAGUCUGGUGCCAGCAGCCGCGGUAAUUCCAGCUCCAAUAGCGUAUAUUAAAGUUGUUGCAGUUAAAAAGCUCGUAGUUGAACCUUGGGCCUGGCUGGUCGGUCCGCCUCACCGCGAGUACUGAUCCGGCUGGGCCUUUCCUUCUGGGGAACCUCAUGGCCUUCACUGGCUGUGGGGGGAACCAGGACUUUUACUGUGAAAAAAUUAGAGUGUUCAAAGCAGGCCUUUGCUCGAAUACAUUAGCAUGGAAUAAUAGAAUAGGACGUGCGGUUCUAUUUUGUUGGUUUCUAGGACCGCCGUAAUGAUUAAUAGGGAUAGUCGGGGGCGUCAGUAUUCAGCUGUCAGAGGUGAAAUUCUUGGAUUUGCUGAAGACUAACUACUGCGAAAGCAUUCGCCAAGGAUGUUUUCAUUAAUCAGGGAACGAAAGUUAGGGGAUCGAAGACGAUCAGAUACCGUCGUAGUCUUAACCAUAAACUAUGCCGACUAGGGAUCGGGCGGUGUUAGUAUUUUGACCCGCUCGGCACCUUACGAGAAAUCAAAGUUUUUGGGUUCUGGGGGGAGUAUGGUCGCAAGGCUGAAACUUAAAGAAAUUGACGGAAGGGCA
rnacentral:rRNA from 1 species